rnacentral:rRNA from 1 species
UACGUAGGGUGCAAGCGUUGUCCGGAAUUAUUGGGCGUAAAGAGCUCGUAGGCGGUUUGUUGCGUCUAUCGUGAAAACCUGCAGCUUAACUGUGGGCUUGCGGUGGAUACGGGCAGACUUGAGUUCGGUAGGGGAGACUGGAAUUCCUGGUGUAGCGGUGAAAUGCGCAGAUAUCAGGAAGAACACCAAUGGCGAAGGCAGCUCUCUGGGACGGUACUGACGCUGAGACGCGAAAGCGUGGGGAGCGAACAGG